GAUGAACGCUGGCGGCGUGCUUAACACAUGCAAGUCGAACGAGAAGUGAAGACGGAAACCUUCGGGCGGAAGGCUUUAUUUCGAUUGGCGGACGGGUGAGUAACGCGUGGGUAACCUGCCUCAUACAGGGGGAUAACAGUUGGAAACGACUGUUAAUACUGCAUAAGACCACAGCACCGCAUGGUGCGGGGGUAAAAACUCCGGUGGUAUGAUAUGGACCCGCGUUGGAUUAGCCAGUUGGCGUGGUAACGGCCCACCAAAGCGACGAUCGAUAGCCGAACAGUGAGGCUGGCCGGCGACAUUGGGGCUGAGACACGGCCCAAACUCCUACGCGAGGCAGCAGUGGGGGAUAGUGCACAGUGGCGGAAGCCAUGAUGCACCGACGCCGGGAGAGUGAAGAAGUAUUGCGGUAUGUAAAGCGCAAUCAGCAGGGAAGAAAAUGACGGUACCUGAGCAAGAAGCCCCGGCUAACUACGUG
rnacentral:rRNA from 1 species